rnacentral:rRNA from 1 species
UACGUAGGGUGCGAGCGUUGUCCGGAAUUAUUGGGCGUAAAGAGCUUGUAGGCGGUUUGUCGCGUCUGGUGUGAAAGUCCGGGGCUCAACCCCGGACUUGCAGUGGGUACGGGCAGACUAGAGUGUGGUAGGGGAGACUGGAAUUCCUGGUGUAGCGGUGGAAUGCGCAGAUAUCAGGAGGAACACCGAUGGCGAAGGCAGGUCACUGGGCCGCAACUGACGCUGAGGAGCGAAAGCGUGGGGAGCGAACAGG